rnacentral:rRNA from 1 species
UACAGAGGGUGCGAGCGUUAAUCGGAAUUACUGGGCGUAAAGCGUGCGUAGACGGCUAUCUAAGUCGGGUGUGAAAGCCCCGGGCUCAACCUGGGAAUUGCAUUCGAGACUGAAUAGCUAGGGUACGGUAGAGGGAAGUGGAAUUUCCGGUGUAGCGGUGAAAUGCGUAGAUAUCGGAAGGAACAUCAGUGGCGAAAGCGACUUCCUGGACCAGUCCCGACGUUCAGGCACGAAAGCGUGGGGAGCAAACAGG